CAGGGAUUGCCCCAGUAACGGCGAGUGAAGCGGCAACAGCUCAAAUUUGAAAUCUGGUCCCUAGGGCCCGAGUUGUAAUUUGUAGAGGAUGCUUUUGGUGAGGUGCCGCCCGAGUUCCCUGGAACGGGACGCCACAGAGGGUGAGAGCCCCGUCUGGCUGGCCGCCGAGCCUCUGUAAAGCUCCUUCGACGAGUCGAGUAGUUUGGGAAUGCUGCUCAAAAUGGGAGGUAUAUGUCUUCUAAAGCUAAAUAUUGGCCAGAGACCGAUAGCGCACAAGUAGAGUGAUCGAAAGAUGAAAAGCACCUUGAAAAGAGGGUUAAAUAGUACGUGAAAUUGUUGAAAGGGAAGCGCUUGUGACCAGACUUGGGCGCGGCGGAUCAUCCGGGGUUCUCUCCGGUGCACUUCGCCGCGUCUAGGCCAGCAUCAGUUCGUCGCGGGGGAAAAAGGCUCCGGGAACGUGGCUCCUCCGGGAGUGUUAUAGCCCGUUGCAUAAUACCCUGCGGUGGACUGAGGACCGCGCAUCUGCAAGGAUGCUGGCGUAAUGGUCACCAGCGACCCGUCUUGAAACACGGACCAAGGAGUCGUCUUCGUAUGCGAGUGUUCGGGUGUCAAACCCCUACGCGUAAUGAAAGUGAACGCAGGUGAGAGCUUCGGCGCAUCAUCGACCGAUCCUGAUGUUCUCGGAUGGAUUUGAGUAAGAGCAUACGGGGCCGGACCCGAAAGAAGGUGAACUAUGCCUGUAUAGGGUGAAGCCAGAGGAAACUCUGGUGGAGGCUCGCAGCGGUUCUGACGUGCAAAUCGAUCGUC
rnacentral:rRNA from 1 species